CUGAUAUUAACUUCAGUUGAGUCAUUUAUUUACUGGUGUUUCGCUGAAAAAAUUGAUACAACACAUACAGGAAGCAUGAUAAACAUUUCAUUGCUGCAGAGACCAGCUUCAGGGAAGGAGAGGUGCUCCAGACCUCUGAUCAUCUUUGUGGCCCUUUUCUGGGCCCUCUCCAACAGCUCCACAUCCUUCCUGCAUUGAGGGUCCCAGACCUGGACACAGUACUCCAGAUGGGGCCUCACGAGGGCCUCCCUGUCCCUGCUGGCCAUCCCUCUUCUGAUGGAGCUCAGGAUACUCUUGGCCUUCACAGCUGCAAGAGCACACUGCUGGCUCAUGAAGUUUUUCAUCCACCAGGACUACCAGGUCCUUCCUUGCAGGGCUGCUCUCAAGGAGUUCUCCCAGUAUACGAAUCUGGGAUUACUCUGACCCAAGUGUAAAACCUUACACUUUGCUAUGUUGAACCUCAUUAGAUUCACACAGACCCACCUCUCAAGUUUGCUGAAGUCCCCCUGGAUGGCAUCCCUUCCUUCUAACAUGUCAAUCGUACCACUUAACUUGGUGUCAUCAGCAAACUUGCUGAGAGUGCACUUGAGACCAUCAUUGAUGUCACUGAUGAAGAUGUUGAAGAGACAGUGAGAGUUCAUACUGAGAUGCGGGAGACCUCGUGCUUACGGGCUCUCAUCCUGGUGGGGGACUUCAACCAUCCGGAUAUCUGUUGGAAAGACCACACGGUGAGCUGCAAGAGGUCCAGAAGGCUCGUGGAAUCCACUGAUGACAACUUUCUGGUCCAAGUAGUGGACAGACCAACCAGAGGUGAAGCGUUGCUGGACCUGCUGCUCACCAGUGUGGAAGAGAUCAUCAAAGAUGUCAACGUUGGAGGCAGCCUCGGCUGCAGCGACCAUGCCCUGGUUGAGUUCGUGAUCUCAAGGGAUGUGGGCCUGGCAAAGGGUGGGGUCAGGACCCUGAACUUUGGAAGAGUGAAUUUUAAGCUGUUCAAUGGAUUGUUGACUAAGAUCCCCUGGGAUGUUGUCCUUAAAGAUAUAGAUGUUGAGGAGAGCUGGCUACUCUUCAAGGAUGCUCUCCUGAAAGCACAAGAGGUCUCCAUCCCUCUGAAUAGGAAAGUGGGCAGAUGAGAUAGGAAACUGGCAUGGCUCGGUGUCUUGCUCUAAUUUAUAGGAGGGAGAGGAGGUUCUUUGAAAUAUGUAUGCCUGGCAUGAGAUUAAGAAACAACGGUUCAAAUGUUGGUCCAACCAGUUUAUUACAAAUCUUAAUAAGGGAGAUGAAGAAAGGGGAGGACGGACACUAUUACGGAUUGGGGUGAUGGGGAAGGGAAGGCGAGUGAUAGAAAAGAGAGAAAGAAGCAAGAAUUGCGUAAAGCGGGGAGAGUGACCACCAGGAUCCGGCAGUAGUCCCGUUGCACGACGUUCCGACGGUCCAAGGCCGAAGGGCAGGAGCAGCGAGGCCGGUCUUGGGCAAUGGGAGGGUGCAGGUACCGGGUGGGUCCAGGAAGAAGCCGCAGAGUAAGUCAGGGAGGAAGCAGCAGGUCUCAGGUAGCAGGCCCAGGGAAGUCCGUCAGCAAACGGUCUGUAGAGAAGGAUCUGAAGGCAGAAACCUCGAGUCCGUCGUGGUGAGGGAUCUGAUGGCAGAAACCCUUCACUGGUCUGUCGUGGUGAGAGAUCAGCCUCUCUGUCGUGGUGAUGGAUCAGAUGGCAGAAAACCCCUCAAGUCUGUCGUGGUGAGAGAUCAGCCUCUCAUCUGCCAUGGUUGUUGGACCCUCUUUUAUCCUCCAUUUUCUCCUGCCUACGUGACAUCCCUGGGUGCUUGAGCAAGAAUUACGUGCAUACCUCCUGAGAUGGCCAUCUUCCUCGAGAUAAGUCCACACAAAAAGACUGUUUCCCGGCCAUUAGCAGCAGCUUAUCCCUCUCUCGUUGCCCCUGGCCUUGUCCAUCUGUGCUCCUUAGAGGAUUUCACAACCUUUAGCCAGACCUGUCCAUCAGUGUCCUCCAGACAGAAGAUUUCUCUACCUUUGCCCAGGACUUGCCUGAACUUGUUCCUCAGCAAACUUUGAGUCAAUCAUAUAAAAGAAUAGUCUCUUACACUCAGCAAGGACCUGCUGGGCACACUGAGGGUGAAGAAAGCUGCAUACAAGCUCUGGAAACAAGAGCGUGUCAUUUGGGAAGAGUACAGGGAUGCUGUCUGGACUUGCAGACGUAGGAUCAGGAAAGCCAAGGUGCAGGUAGAACUGAACUUGGAGAGGGAUGUGAAAAACAAUAAGAAGACAUUCUACAGGUACAUUGGCCAGAAGAGACAGGCCAAAAUGGGUGCACCUUCUUUAGUAAAUUUAAAAGGAGAACAGGCUUCAA
ensembl:lncRNA